GCAUGAAUUACAGGGUAUAUCUCCUUUGGCACGGAGGCAUGAAUGCAACCAUGCAUAGGUAUUGCUAAUGCAUGGAGGUUAGAUAUUGGAAGAUGCAUAAUAGCCGUGCGUGCCAAAGGAGAAUUGCCCUGCGAUUCACGG
rnacentral:pre_miRNA from 1 species